GAAAAUUCUUCGCUUCCGGUGGAGGGGACUGGAUUCUGGCUGGGGAGGUGAGAGCCCGACCCCGCGCAGUCGCUUCGGUGGUCCCGAGUCCCAGCGGCUCUCCCUGUAGACCCCUGGCAUCUCGUCUCCGUGUAGCUCGUUAUGGUCCAGCUGACCUCCCUGCUCUGUAAGACGUACCGAGCCGGCCAUGUGACCAUCCGCCUGGCCCUCAGCGGCUGCACCAACCGGCCUUUCUACCGAAUUGUGGCCGCCUACAACAAGCGUUCCCGAGAUGGCCGGUACUUGGAGCAGCUGGGCUGCUAUGACCCCCUGCCCAACACGAAUGGGGAGAAGCUGGUGGGCCUUAACUUGGAGAGAAUCCGGCACUGGCUAGGCUCGGGGGCCCAUCUCACCAAGCCGGUGGAGAAGCUUCUAGGUCUUUCUGGAUUUUUCCCUCUGCAUCCCAUGACUGUCACGAGUGCUGAGAGGCUUCGACGGAAACGAGCUCUUGAAGCCAGUUCAGCUUCUGAGGCAGUAAACACAGAGACAGCACCCAGCUGAGCGGUAUGAGCAGGCUCUGCAAAUCCAGUCAAGAAGCAUUUCUUAAGUGCUUAUCCUGUGCCAGACACUCUGCUAUGCUCUUCAAAGAAUACCAUCUUCGAGCCACAUGGUACACCUUAGUCUAAGAACUCAUUCUGUUUUGUUCUAAGUAUGAAGAUCACUCUUGACAAAGAAGAUGGAGGCAAAUAGGAGUCAAGUCUUUUUUUCCUCUCUAUUAUCUUAGGCUGCAUGCUGGCCUGUCCUUGUCCAUCUUGCUACAAAUAACACCUCCGCCCCCCCCCCCCCCAAAUUUUGUUGUUGUUAGUAUUUCCUCCAAGCCACGCUUCCUGAACCUGGCUGACAGUUUUUCUUAAAUAUCCAUGUCACUCUUGGGUAUUUGUUCUCCUUUAUGUGUCUCUCAUAUCUUUUGUACAUGUCUUUUUUCAAAUCUGAAUUCAUUGGAGAGUUCACUCUGUAAUCACAGUGGUCUCCAACAUGCCUACUUUGUCUUUAACAGUUAGAAUAAUUUAUUCUGUUAGAAUUUUUUUUUUUUGCUUGCAUUCUCUCUUUCCUAAACCAUUGUCCCUUUUAGCCUCUUGGAUCAUGGGUUAGUACCUAUCAUUUUAUUUUUUAAAAUAUAUUUUCUUGAAGCUUUUGGGACACUUCUGAUUGUGCCUACUGUUCCCUUUCGUGGCUGUUAUGAACUUAUUACCAUCAUCAUCAUCAUCAUCAUCACCAAAUAUUUAUUAAGCACCUACUACUUACUAGGCCCUGUGCUAAGUGCUGGGGAUACAAAGAAAGGCAAAAACACUCGACGCCCUGGAGGAGUUCAGCCUGAUGGGAGAGACACAAUUUGAACAUUAUCUGAACACAUAAGAUAUUAUGGUAUAAUGGGAGGAAAUCUAAGAAGAAAGGCACUAGGAGAGGGGGACACCUGGAAAAGCCUCUUGCAGAAGGGAUUGAAGUUGAGUCUUCCAGGAAACCAAUAGGCAGGGAGGGAGAGCCUUCUAGCCAUGGGAGCUCUCAUGAGGAUAAUAUUGUUAGCAUGAUGGGGAAAUGGCACCUACCACACCCUUCGCUUGCAAGUAGAAAGGGAGGCACAUGUGCCUCCCUUCCUAGACCCUCCAGUGGAACUAGAAAGGAUGCAGGCUUUCAUCUGGACCAGCAUCUGAACUUGACCGAAGUGCAGCAACAAUUGCUCAAGCAUCACCAAGAGGUGGUGCAACAGUGAAAGAUGCAGGCUGGACUCUACAAGAAGGAAGCCAUAUUAUAAAUGAAAAAUUAUUAGCACAAGGAGAAAUGCCUGCAGGACACAGACAAUGGGAAUUAAUGAACUCGUAUCGGCAGGUGGCUUGGACUGCUGUGACCCAAGCUGGAGUCUUCCCUCAUCCAUCAAGGGUAUUUACUGCUUCAUGUGAUACUGAUGCUCAUAUGUACUUUUUGUUUUGUUCUCAAGGGAGGCAGAUGCAUGCUUGGAACUGCUGUGCAGAUUGUUUUAAUUAAAAUCGUGCUCUUGGUUAUAGAUCAUCCCAGAUGGCUGCAAGGACAGCCAGCAGCAAAAGGGUUGUGUGUAGUUAGAUUAAGUACGUCAAUUUAGGAUAAUUGACUCAGUUUUGUUUGAAGCCUCCUUUUUGUGAUUUUGUCUUGACUGAGAGGUUUUGCUAUUAGGUUGCAUUCCUUUAAAUUGUUUUUCAACAAUAAGAAAAGCACUUAUAUGGUAUAGUUUGAUAAACAACUUUAUGUGUAGUCCAUAAAUAACUAAUACACAUACAUGAACCCCCAGAUAGAACAGACUACCAAUGAGAAAAUAUUGUAAACAACUUUAUCAACAGCUUGUAUAGUUAAUUACCUACCAAUAAAACUAUGUGGUUAACAAAUUAGGUAAUAGACCACCAGUCAGAAUUUGAGAGUAACCAGUGGACACCCCUAUCUGCAAUCAUAAAAACUAGCCAGAGGUCCCAGUCAUCAGCCUUCUCCAGUCAUGAGUAGGACAGACUCCUGAGGUACUGUAUGCUUGAGACUUAAGCUCCCCAUCUUUUUGUGGAGCUGUGUUGAUUGACAGAGACAUAAGAGACGAUGACUGUAGAGAGACACGUCCUCUGGCUGGGUGGUGAGAAAACCUUGUUAUGGGCACUGGUAUGACAUAUUUACUGAUGGCACCUAUAGGAAUCAGGUUGUUGGUUUAUUCCUAAAGGGGUUAAUGUUUGUACUGUCAAAUAGAUAAUUGUACAUUAUAGAUUGAGGAAAUUAAAAUUAUUCUAUAUCAUUUAA